CUGGCGGCGUGCCUAAUACAUGCAAGGCGAGCGGAUCGGAGGGAGCUUGCUCCCAAUGAUUAGCGGCGGACGGGUGAGUAACACGUGGGCAACCUGCCUAUAAGACUGGGAUAACUUCGGGAAACCGGAGCUAAUACCGGAUAAUGCUUUCGAACACAUGUUUGAAAGCUGAAAGAUGGUUUCGGCUAUCACUUAUAGAUGGGCCCGCGGCGCAUUAGCUAGUUGGUGAGGUAACGGCUUACCAAGGCGACGAUGCGUAGCCGACCUGAGAGGGUGAUCGGCCACACUGGGACUGAGACACGGCCCAGACCCCUACGGGAGGCAGCAGUAGGGAAUCUUCCGCAAUGGACGAAAGUCUGACGGAGCAACGCCGCGUGAGUGAUGAAGGUUUUCGGAUCGUAAAACUCUGUUGUUAGGGAAGAACAAGUAUCGGAGUAACUGCCGGUACCUUGACGGUACCUAACCAGAAAGCCACGGCUAACUACGUGCCAGCAGCCGCGGUAAUACGUAGGUGGCAAGCGUUGUCCGGAAUUAUUGGGCGUAAAGCGCGCGCAGGCGGUUCCUUAAGUCUGAUGUGAAAGCCCACGGCUCAACCGUGGAGGGUCAUUGGAAACUGGGGAACUUGAGUGCAGAAGAGAAGAGCGGAAUUCCACGUGUAGCGGUGAAAUGCGUAGAGAUGUGGAGGAACACCAGUGGCGAAGGCGGCUCUUUGGUCUGUAACUGACGCUGAGGCGCGAAAGCGUGGGGAGCAAACAGGAUUAGAUACCCUGGUAGUCCACGCCGUAAACGAUGAGUGCUAAGUGUUAGAGGGUUUCCGCCCUUUAGUGCUGCAGCAAACGCAUUAAGCACUCCGCCUGGGGAGUACGGCCGCAAGGCUGAAACUCAAAGGAAUUGACGGGGGCCCGCACAAGCGGUGGAGCAUGUGGUUUAAUUCGAAGCAACGCGAAGAACCUUACCAGGUCUUGACAUCCUCUGCCACCCCUAGAGAUAGGGCGUUCCCCUUCGGGGGACGGAGUGACAGGUGGUGCAUGGUUGUCGUCAGCUCGUGUCGUGAGAUGUUGGGUUAAGUCCCGCAACGAGCGCAACCCUU
rnacentral:rRNA from 1 species